GGCGAGUGAAGUGGGAAAAGCUCAACUUUGAAAUCUGGCAGCUUCGCUGUCCGAGUUGUAGUCUCGAGAAGUGUUUUCCGCGCUGGACCAUGUAUGAGUCUGUUGGAAUACAGCGUCAUAGAGGGUGAGAACCCCGUUCAUGACAUGACUUCCAGUGCUCUGUGAUACACUUUCGAUGAGUCGAGUUGUUUGGGAAUGCAGCUCAAAUUGGGUGGUAAAUUCCAUCUAAAGCUAAAUAUUGGGGAGAGACCGAUAGCAAACAAGUACCGUGAGGGAAAGAUGAAAAGCACUUUGGAAAGAGAGUUAAAAGUACGUGAAAUUGUUGAAAGGGAAACGCUUGAAGUCAGACGUGCGCAGCUUCGGCUAAUGCAGGCUAGCAUCGGUUUUGCGAGUCGGAUAAAGGUAAAGGGAAGGUGGCAGCCACGGCUGUGUUAUAGCCCUCUACUGAAUACGGAUUGCGAGACCGAGGGAUGCAGCGCGCCGAAAGGCAAAGGGUAGCACCCUUUUCGCGCUCAGGAUGCUGGUGAAAUGGCUUUAAACGA
rnacentral:rRNA from 1 species